rnacentral:sRNA from 1 species
GUAUGAACUGCAGUAAUACAAAUCUUUAAAAGGUGAUGUGGAGUGAAUUGGUAUUUUUGUUCAAAAUGUCCAUCUCCUCCAUAUAAAAUUUUGGUAAGAAAUAUCUCAAUGAAAAUACACAUAAAACAUUCAUGUGGGACACAGCUAAAAAGCCUUGUUUUAAUGGUCUGCUCAAUACUAACUGUAUGGUUAUAGAGAACACUUGGAAGUAAAAAAAAAAUGUAGCUAUAAAGUAUUAAGCAUACAGUUAAAUUACAUAAUUUACCUGCAGGAAUAAUUUAUUUUUAAAGGCAACUGGGCCUUGAUCCUGAAGUCCUGUUUGUACAUUUCCCCAUAAUUAUUAACGACUUAACUUUUGAGGUUCUCCUUAUGUAGACUGGACUGAUCUUGAAUUGACAGAGAUUCCACUUGCCUCCCCUUAACUUCUUUUUUAUUAACUCAAUCAGCAUUUCCUUAAUAGGCCAAAUUAAGAUGUAUUAAAUUGUUUUGAAAACCACAAAUUACAUUCAAGACGUUCCUAGAUCUUGGUUUUAGGCUAAAAAAUAUUGGUAGCAUAUGUAAAAUAUUAAGUGCUUUUUGCAUUCCAACUUAUGUUCGAGACUUAAAUACAUGACUGCUGUAAGUUAGUGUCAAGACUUCUUCACCUUUACCUUUACUUCCAACAAAUACAGGCCAAGGCUUUUACCCAUAGACUCGGGGCAAAUUCUAGCUGUGGGAAUAACAAGUGCUUUUUAGCAUCAGUGAGUGUAAUUACUUUUAAAGUUUAAAAGAGACAGCUAAGGAAGAAGGAAUUUUUUAAAACAUGAGCCUCUCUACCUACAUGCUAUCAUUUUUUUUGUUCAUUAUCCAAAAUGUGAAGAAAAAAAUAAAAGGAAAAAAGGGGGGUUUAAAGUUAAGACAAGCAAAAUUACAGGGCUAAUAGAGUAAGAUGGUUUUAUUUUUAAAAUUACUUUUCCCAGUUAUGCUUACUUAACAUAGAAGAAGAGACCCUGAGAUGAUCAACUCUUUUUCUCAUGAGGAACACAACAUGAUAAGUUAAGAAAACACACACAUUAUAAUACCUACUAUUGCUCAUCUAGGCAGAGAGUAGUAGGUGAUUGACCACCAAUCAGAUGCUGCUCAAUUUAAUAAUCUGACCACUGGUUCUACUACACUAGUGUUUUUAUUUUACUGUGAAUCAUCACCACACUGUAAGAUUACUAUUGAUCUGCAAAUUCAUUCAUUCAUUCUUUAAGGUGAUGAUAUUUAUUAAGACCUGCUCCAUACCUUGACAAAGGAGGAAAUGCACGUCAUUUUUAAGUGGCCCAUAAAGGUUGGUCCAAAGUGUCUAACUGUAGACUGCACAUCAGGUACUGCUGUAUCAUUGAGGGCAUCCUUUUUUUUUCCCCAAUGAAACCAUCUAAGGAGAUAACUAUAGGAUAGGAAUUAUUUGGG